UACGAAAGGGGCUAGCGUUGGUCGGGAUUACUGGGCGCAAAGCGCACGUAGGCGGCCUUGUAAGUUGGGGGUGAAAUCCCCGGGCUCAACCCGGGAACUGCCUUCAAGACUGCAAAGCUCGAGGACGCGAGAGGUUAGCGGAAUUCCGAGUGUAGAGGUGAAAUUCGUAGAUAUUCGGAAGAACACCAGUGGCGAAGGCGGCUAACUGGCGCGUUUCUGACGCUGAGGUGCGAAAGCGUGGCGAGCAAACAGG
rnacentral:rRNA from 1 species